CCCUGCCAUUUGUACACACCGCCCGUCGCACCUACCGAUUGAAUGGUCCGGUGAAGCCUCCGGAUUGGCAGCUACCCUCGGGUGCUGCCGAGAAGUUGGCUAAACCUUACCAUUUAGAGGAAGGUGAAGUCGUA
rnacentral:rRNA from 1 species